AUUGAACGCUGGCGGCAGGCCUAACACAUGCAAGUCGAACGAGUGGCGGACGGGUGAGUAAUGUCUGUGAACCUGCCUGCUGGAGGGGGAUAACUACUGGAAACGGUAGCUAAUACCGCAUACCAUCAGAUGUGCCCAGAUGGGGUUAGCUUGUUGGUGGGGUAACGGCUCACCAAGGCGACGAUCCCUAGCUGGUCUGAGAGGAUGGCCAGCCACACUGGAACUGAGACACGGUCCAGACUCCUACGGGAGGCAGCAGUGGGGAAUAUUGCACAAGGGGCGCAAGCCUGAUGCAGACAUGCCGAGUGUAUGAAGAAGGCCUUCGGGUAGUAAAGUACUUUCAGCGGGGAGGCGGUACCCGCAGAAGAAGCACCGGCUAACUCCGUGCCAGCAGCCGCGGUAAUUC
rnacentral:rRNA from 1 species